UACGUAGGGUGCGAGCGUUGUCCGGAAUUACUGGGCGUAAAGAGCUCGUAGGCGGUUCGUCGCGUCGGCUGUGAAAACCCGAAGCUCAACUCCGGGCCUGCAGUCGAUACGGGCGGACUUGAGUGUUGCAGGGGAGACUGGAAUUCCUGGUGUAGCGGUGAAAAUGCGCAGAUAUCAGGAGGAACACCGGUGGCGAAGGCGGGUCUCUGGG
rnacentral:rRNA from 1 species